rnacentral:rRNA from 1 species
GAUGAACGCUGGCGGCGUGCUUAACACAUGCGAGUCGAACGAAGCAUUUAAGACAGAUUCCUUCGGUUUGAAGUCUUUUAUGACUGAGUGGCGGACGGGUGAGUAACGCGUGGGUAACCUGCCUCAUACAGGGGGAUAGCAGCUGGAAACGGCUGGUAAUACCGCAUAAGCGCACAGUACCACAUGGUACAGUGUGAAAAACUCCGGUGGUAUGAGAUGGACCCGCGUCUGAUUAGCUUGUUGGCGGGGUAACGGCCCACCAAGGCGACGAUCAGUAGCCGACCUGAGAGGGUGACCGGCCACAUUGGGACUGAGACACGGCCCAGACUCCUACGGGAGGCAGCAGUGGGGAAUAUUGCACAAUGGAGGAAACUCUGAUGCAGCGACGCCGCGUGAGUGAAGAAGUAGUUCGCUAUGUAAAGCUCUAUCAGCAGGGAAGAUAGUGACGGUACCUGACUAAGAAGCUCCGGCUAAAUACGUG